ensembl:lncRNA
CAAGAACAUUGCCUUUUUUAUUUAUUUUUUGUCAAGGUAAAUCAGGAGGAGGUCAAUGUCACCAGCAUGUUUUACAUUGCACUUGUUUAAAUCUUCACGGUUUUGUUUCAUUUCCUCUGAGCAAACGAACUUUACUUUUAUUUCUACCGUGGCAGUAUUCACCAAAUAAUAUGUUGUAGGCAGACACAGAAAAUACGAUGUAGAGAGAAGAAAAUGUUAUCACAUGCCUCCCUUCACUCUUCACUAUCCAUGAAAAUCCCCUUCUGCCCACAGUUAUUGCCCCUUCUGUAUGCUCCUCUUGGUAUCUUUCUAUCUUCUAAAAAAGAUAUCUUGGGGUAGGGAUUAUUUUCAUUCAUACAUAUAUACCUAAAUAUAUAUAGGCACAAAUACAUAUAUUUAUAUACACAUCUAUUUAUAGAUGUAUAUGUAUGUAUGUAUAAAUAACUGUGUGUACAGAGAGAAAAAAGAGAGGCAGACAUUGUAUCUAGCUAACCAUUACAACAGAUAGAGCAAUUAUAAACUCAGCUGGAUUAUUCUUAAUUUUUACUGGCCUGACCGAGACUUGAACAUGACCAAUUAUGCAUAGGCUGACAAACCAGAGAACAUCAAGAUUAAUUUUUUAUAGCUACAGAACCAUUUGCACUCCAUAACCUUGGGAGUGACACUCUGCCUGUAAUCAGGGACACAUUUUUGUCAUGCCACCACAGUAAAUGCUAAAGCACCUUUUGCAUCUGUCACGCUGCAGAAGGCAGGAGAGGCAUAUGGAGCUCCGAGCACCCCCAGAACAGCAUGGAGACCACACAAAACUGGAACAAAGGAAAAAUAUUUCCUACUUCCCCAGGUUGUUUUUUUUCUUUUUUUUUCCUUAUGAAGGUAUUACUUCGAACUUCAUUUGUUCUCAAAAGAGGAAAGAGGUACAGACAGUGUGAGGACCAUAUGUAGUGGCAGCACCGGGGCUCCAGCAUACAUUGCCUGCCACUGGGUGGACAGGACAGGAUCUGGCCCUUGCCAUCUCCAUAGCACUGCUGUGCAUAAAGCACUCCAUGACAGCUUCUGGGGGACUACUAGCAGACAGCAGGUCCCCAGCACUUUCACACAGCCGAGCAAGAUUGGAGCACAAGUCUUCUGAAGAGUGGCUGGGGGAAUUGGGAUUGUUCAGUGUGGGGAAGAGGAGGCUUGUGGAGACCUUAUUGCUCCCUACAGUUGUCUGACAGGAAGUUGUGGCGAGGUGGGGGGUCAGCCUCUUCUCCCAGGUAACAGCAAUAGGAUGAGCGGUAAUGGCCUUAAGCUGCACCAGGGGAGGUCCAGGUUGGGUUUUAGGAAAAAUUUCUUCUCAGGAACAGCGAUGAGGCAGUGGCACAGGAUGCCCAGGGAUGUGGUGGAGUCACCAUCCCUGGAGGUGUUUGAGGAACGUGUAGAUGUAGCACUGAAGGACACGGUUAGUGGCCACGGUGGUGAUGAACUGAUGGUUGGACUAGAUGAUCUUAAUGGUUUUUUCCAGUCUUAAUGAUUCUACAAUUCUAAGAUGCUGCAAGAUGAGGAGACUCAGCAAUUUGCUAUGAAGAUUUCCUAACUUUCUCCCAACACGUUUAUCUUCCUUCACUCCAGCUCCUGGAGUUCUCACAGGGAGAGAGGCACAGUAUGCAACACAAACAAGUGUGCAAGUGCACAUGUCCACACUGAGCACCUGCAGGAGGUGUGAGCUGCACCUGCAACCCUCCCGUGCAGCACAGCGGGGGGCUGCUGCCAGGAGGGAGCUGACAAGAGGGGAAAAGGAUUUGCAAACUCCUGUCCAGUUGAGAGACUGGGUACAACUCCGUAGAGCAGCAAUGCUGUUUAGGAAGGAUAUAUAUUCAUUGUGGUUUUGUUGUUCUUUUUCUUUCUUUUUUUUUUUUUUUUUUUUAAUCUAUUACCGUGCUUGGCUGCAGGUCGGGCUGUACCAGAGCUUCCAUUCAAACCCUUUUUCAGAUGGGUGAUCUGGGACGGGGCUUUGAACUCAGCGGAGGUGAGAUCUUUUGUUGUUUUCUCCUGCAG